rnacentral:lncRNA from 10 species
UGGCCCUUUGGAGACCUCCCAGGCAGACAUGAGGCGUCCGCGGUCCUGAUUGCGCGUAGGCGCUGGGGAGGUGUUCUCUAAGGCCCAUCAGCCUUACACCCCGCUUUGUCUUUGACAUGGACGUUUGUGAUGAUCACGUUCCUCCCGCUCCCCGUGUCUGAAGAGUGCUCCCUGACUGGCUGCCGUCUCCUCCCUGUCGGGUCUGGCUGGGUUCUCCAGAGGGAGUGCUGCGGAGGGGACACAGCAGAGGCCCCAUGCUCGUGAUGUAUGUUGCAGAUCAUUUUCCCCCAUUCUGUCCUUUUUUGUUAAAUUGUGGUAAAAAGCACAUAACAUAAACUGUACCACCUUAACCAUUUGAAAGUAUAUAUCCCAG